rnacentral:rRNA from 1 species
UGGGGAAUAUUGGACAAUGGGCGCAAGCCUGAUCCAGCCAUGCCGCGUGAGUGAUGAAGGCCCUAGGGUUGUAAAGCUCUUUCACCGGUGAAGAUAAUGACGGUAACCGGAGAAGAAGCCCCGGCUAACUUCGUGCCAGCAGCCGCGGUAAUACGAAGGGGGCUAGCGUUGUUCGGAUUUACUGGGCGUAAAGCGCACGUAGGCGGACUUUUAAGUCAGGGGUGAAAUCCCGGGUCUCAACCCCGGAACUGCCUUUGAUACUGGAAGUCUUGAGUAUGGUAGAGGUGAGUGGAAUUCCGAGUGUAGAGGUGAAAUUCGUAGAUAUUCGGAGGAACACCAGUGGCGAAGGCGGCUCACUGGACCAUUACUGACGCUGAGGUGCGAAAGCGUGGGGAGCAAACAGG